rnacentral:misc_RNA from 1 species
GACACCAGAAGCAGCACGGACUUCUUGCCGUCCUUCUUCAACUGGUCGACGCGCUUCUUGACGUCGGCGGCAUUCGUCACCGCCUCCUGCGCGACCUCGACGAUCACGUCGCCGGCGCUGAGCCGCUUUUCGGCGGCAUCGGAGCCAUCGUCAACACCGGUGACGAUCACGCCCUUGACGCUGUCCUUGAUCUUGUAGCGUGUCCG